rnacentral:rRNA from 2 species
GGGCGUAAGCGCGCGCAGGCGGUUCCUUAAGUCUGAUGUGAAAGCCCACGGCUCAACCGUGGAGGGUCAUUGGAAACUGGGGAACUUGAGUGCAGAAGAGGAGAGCGGAAUUCCACGUGUAGCGGUGAAAUGCGUAGAGAUGUGGAGGAACACCAGUGGCGAAGGCGGCUCUCUGGUCUGUAACUGACGCUGAGGCGCGAAAGCGUGGGGAGCGAACAGGAUUAGAUACCCUGGUAGUCCACGCCGUAAACGAUGAGUGCUAAGUGUUAGAGGGUUUCCGCCCUUUAGUGCUGCAGCAAACGCAUUAAGCACUCCGCCUGGGGAGUACGGUCGCGAGACUGAAACUCAAAGGAAUUGACGGGGACCCGCACAAGCGGUGGAGCAUGUGGUUUAAUUCUAAGCAACGCGAAGAACCUUACCAGGUCUUGACAUCCUCUGCUACUUCUAGAGAUAGAAGGGUCCCUUCGGGGACAGAGUGACAGGUGGUGCAUGGUUGUCGUCAGCUCGUGUCGUGAGAUGUUGGGUUAAGUCCCGCAACGAGCGCAACCCUUGAUCUUAGUUGCCAGCAUUCAGUUGGGCACUCUAAGGUGACUGCCGGUGACAAACCGGAGGAAGGUGGGGAUGACGUCAAAUCAUCAUGCCCCUUAUGACCUGGGCUACACACGUGCUGCAAUGGAUGGUACAAAGGGCUGCAAAACCGCGAGGUUAAGCCAAUCCCAUAUAACCAUUCUCAGUUCGGAUUGUAGGCUGCAACUCGCCUACAUGAAGCCGGAAUCGCUAGUAAUAGCGGAUCAGCAUGCC